rnacentral:rRNA from 1 species
UGAGGAAUAUUGGUCAAUGGGCGGAAGCCUGAACCAGCCAAGUAGCGUGAGGGAUGACUGCCCUAUGGGUUGUAAACCUCUUUUAUAAGGGAAUAAAAUACGGGACGUGUCCUGUUUUGCAUGUACCUUAUGAAUAAGGACCGGCUAAUUCCGUGCCAGCAGCCGCGGUAAUACGGAAGGUCCAGGCGUUAUCCGGAUUUAUUGGGUUUAAAGGGAGCGCAGGCGGUCUUAUAAGCGUGACGUGAAAUGCAGCGGCUCAACCGUAUGAUGUGCGAAAGCGUGGGGAGCAAACAGGAUUAGAUACCCUGGUAGU